AGCAAUUUGUCACAACCCUCUCCUCUCUCAGAGCAAGGAUCCUGACAGGGAUUUAUUGAAUACACCCAAAUGUGCUGAACAGCUCACAGUGACGCUCAGCAAACCCAUGUUCUGCCUCACUUCUCCCAGGGGCUGCUCCUGUUUCUGGUUCAGGGGAAACCUCAGUCCUCCUCUGCUGCCAAGAGAAUUUUAAAAUAAAAAAGUGGAAGGUGAAAGGCACAAUUCACUGAAGAUCUGGAACAGCCUUUUUCUAGAAGAAAAGCUGCUGUGUUUCCUGCCCCCUGAAUCUGAGCUCUGGUUUGCACCAGCCCCAGGCUGCUGCAGAGGCUGCUCCCCCUCCUGCACUGCCAGUGUAAAAUGGACCCUGUAAAUGCCUUUGGAGGGGCAGGGGACAGCGGUGUCACCCAGCAGGGCUCCAGGCACCCCGGAGUACAGGAACGUGCUGCUCUCACCCCGGUGUGAUUCCUGCUCUGCCCUCUCCUGCAGCUGCAGCACCACACAUCCUUUAACCCAUCAAAUAUUCCAAACCCCAAAGUGAUAGCCUGCAGAAAAUGAUUUACAGUCAGCUUGAGCUACUCUUAAUAGCAGUAGUAAUUUCAUCAAACUAAAAGCAGCAGUGAUUUAUUUUUAAUUAUAAUUACUCUUUUGGUGCAGGAAAUGGAGCAGUGAGUAGGGUUUGCACUUCCUGCCCUGUUUGUCCUGGCCCUGCAUGAUUCCCUGGCUGCAUUUCUGGCAAUUCUGCAUUAAAUGGGCUCCAGGUUG